AGCAAUAUUCUUAAUAACACUAAUUGUACAUUCAAUAUAACGUUCUAAUGUUAUAUCCACUUCUUCCUUCAGGUCUUCCUCCUCUGUGAUUCCUCCACUUCACAGUGAAGACACUCAGGACUGCAGAGAGAGCUGAACACAUAAAAGAAGCUGAACAUGCAGCGUAUUCAGUUUCACUGUACUACAUGUUGAUCUGCUCUGCACUGCUCUCAGAGUUCAAGGAUCAGGUGUGUGACUGCAAGGAAGAGUCAUCAGUCAGUCAUCACUGUCCCAGUGACAGCCCCACCUUUAUGCAGCUUCAAGCUCCUCCCUAAACCAGCUGUAAAGGCCUCUCCUCCUCCAUGUAGCUAUAGUAACACUAUCCUGACGUGAUGACUGGAGCAGUGGAUCUACAGCCGCUGCACAGGUCAAAGGUCAUAAUGUUACAGGUCUUCAAAGCAUACACUACUAACUCAUGAACAGUAUUACUACAGGACACCUGUCUAUUUUGUUUGUUUCAUCUCUACCGUAUUUGAUCUAACAAUAUACGUUUUCCUUGUGUUUCAUCGCAUUUUUUUUGUUGAUUGUAUUUAUUUAUUUAUUAUUUUUUUAUUUGUCAUCCGUCCCUUUUCAGUCAGAUUUAUGAGAAAAUUAAGGAUGAAAAUGUUUGUUUGAUUGCCUCGUGCAUAUGAACAAAUUAACCUUGAAGAAAUGACAUAUUUGUAUCACAAUGAGUCAUUAGUAUGGGGUUUCAGCUGGUAGGUAUAUUCAAGGUUUUUCACAUGUGUACACCGAUCCUUAGGAUAACCUAAACUCUACUGAGACUGCCCAGUGUUAAAUUGUAAGAAUGUGAAAUCCAUCAAGUGUUUCAUCUUCAGAUGGCUAAAACAUGACUUGGUGCAAAGAGCCUUGUCAAAAGAUUUAAUAGGAAAACAAAUCCUACAAAGCUUGGGUCCUAACCUUGAGUCAACAAGUGACUCUAACCUCUAAUGUUCCAUCAAAGUAAGGAGAACCCAGUGUGUCUGUGAGCCUCAGUAAACUGAGUUUAACGCUGGGAUAGUCUAAACGACAAUGUUGACAAGACUUAUCUGUCCAGGGCUCCUGGACCUUGAAGUCUUGAACUGAGUAUUAACCUAAGUCUGGAAACGAUGUGAAAAACCUUUGAUUGUAGGAAAUGAACCAUAUUGUUAACUAUUGAAACUAUAGUACAUUUAUUCAUGAAUAACACAGAGACCAAUGUUCACAAAACUGUGUUGAUACAUUUCUCACUCUAAGAUGUUAUCUUUCAUGAAAUACUCACAAAAUAAUUAUGACCAAUACAACAGUACUUGUGCACUGUACUCAUCUAUAUUAUUUCUUUAUAUUUCGAUAGAAGAUAAUGAGUCAAAAAAGAAUGUAAAGACGGGAUCUUCUUUUGUGUUGUAUUUCAACUCUUAGCUUUGUUAAAUGCUGCACUUCAUCUUCCACACUGCCAAUUUUGAAAUUAAAAUAUUAUGUUUUCCUGC